CACGAUCAGAACUUUGAAUCGUGCAAUACAAUGCAAAUGGACAUCAUCUGGGCAGCAUCUGGCGAGCUGAAUAAAAGUUGGAAGCUGAAGAAAAAGUUUGAUACCCGGCCAUCCACGAAUGAAGCAAGAAUCAGGAUGUGGGCACACUGCUUCAGAAUCGGCGCUGGAAUCAACACCAACAUGGCAUUGGAGAGUAUGAACAAUUUUUGCAAGAAAAACCACAUUUGGUUUUUCAUUAAGAGGAAAGCGAAUAUAACGGUGGAGACAUUAUUGGACAAAUUUAAUAAUCUGGUAGAUGCAAAAAUGUGGAAAAGAAUUACAAAUAUGAAUAGACCAAAUGCAAAUAAUUAUCAAGAGAGAAUCACCACAAAGACUCAUAAAAUGAUGGAGAAAAUGAAUACGAACUUAAUUCAGGAGGUAUAUUUCGGGGAAUUUAAAGUAAAAUCUGCGAAAAAUCCCUAGAACUGGGGAAAAAUUCCCUAGCAUGGCAUCGCUGCUUGGAAGGGUGGCAAAAUCGAACGGAGCUCGCCACGCGCUUCCGAUCCCUCAACACCUGCACAACAGAUCAAUCACAGUUUACAUUUAAACGCUGUAAAAAUCACGUCUGUCUAUCGCAAAGAUAACCACGACUGAUCCGAUAUUUUCAACCGAUUGCCAGCUAAAACAAUAAAAGCAAGCUUUCAUAUA